rnacentral:rRNA from 1 species
CCUACGGGAGGCAGCAGUGAGGAAUCUUGGUCAAUGGACGAGAGUCUGAACCAGCAAAGCCGCGUGAAGGAUGACUGCCCUCUGGGUUGUAAACUUCUUUUAUAAUGGAAUAAAACGAGGCACGUGUGCCUUUUUUCAUGUACUUUAUGAAUAAGGAUCGUCUAACUCCGUGCCAGCAGCCGCGGUAAUACGGAGGAUCGGAGCGUUAUCCGGAUUUAUUGGGUUUAAAGGGAGCGUAGAUGGGUUGUUAAGUCAGUUGUGAAAGUUUGCGGCUCAACCGUAAAAUUGCAAUUGAUACUGUCAGGCUUGAGUACAGUUGAGGAAAGCGGAAUGCGAGGUGUAGCGGUGAAAUGCUUAGAUAUCACGAAGAACCCCGAUUGCGAAGGCAGCUUACUAAACUGUGACUGACAUUGAUGCUCGAAAGUGUGGGUAGCAAACAGGAUUAGAUACCCGAGUAGUC